rnacentral:rRNA from 1 species
GACGAACGCUGGCGGCGUGCUUAACACAUGCAAGUCGAACGGAAAGGCCCUGCUUUUGUGGGGUGUUCGAGUGGCUAACGGGUGGGUAACACGUGCGUAACCUGCCCUUGCUUUUGGGAUAACUUCAGGAAACUGGCGCUAACACCUGAUAGGUGCUCCUUCUUCAUGGUGUGGGUUGGAAAGUUUCGGCGGCUGGGGCUGGACUCGCGGCUUAUCAGCUUGUUGGUGGGGUAGUGGCUUACCAAGGCUUUGACGGGUAGCCGGCCUGAGAGGGUGACCGGCCACAUAGGGACUGAGGUACGACCCAGACUCAUACGGGAGGAAGCAGUGGGAAAUAGUGCAAAAUGGGCGGAAGCCGGAUGCAGCGACGCCGCGUGCGAGAUGACGGCCUUCGGGUUGUAAACCGCUUUCGCCUGAGAGGAAGAGUGAGUGACGGUAAUGGGUAAAGAAGCAACGGCUAACUACGUG